GCUCAUUAAAUCAGUUAUGAUCUACGUGACAAAUUCUUUACUACUUGGAUAACCGUGGUAAUUCUAGAGCUAAUACAUGCAAAAAAGCCCUGACUUACGAAGGGGUGCACUUAUUAGAUAAAACCAACGCGGGGUAAAACCUGUUUCUUGGUGAAUCAUAAUAAUUAAGCGGAUCGCAUAGCCUUGUGCUGGCGACGGUCCACUCGAUUUUCUGCCCUAUCAUGGUUGAGAUUGUAAGAUAGAGGCUUACAAUGCCUACAACGGGUAACGGGGAAUUAGGGUUCGAUUCCGGAGAGGGAGCCUGAGAAACGGCUACCACAUCCAAGGAAGGCAGCAGGCGCGCAAAUUACCCAAUCCCGACACGGGGAGGUAGUGACAAUACAUAACAAUGCAGGGCCUUUAAGGUCUUGCAAUUGGAAUGAGUACAAUUUAAAUCCCUUAACGAGGAUCAAUUGGAGGGCAAGUCUGGUGCCAGCAGCCGCGGUAAUUCCAGCUCCAAUAGCGUAUAUUAAAGUUGUUGCAGUUAAAACGUCCGUAGUCAAACUUUAGUCUUACUGGCGUAGUGGCCUGGUCUUCAUUGACCAAGCUCAUUGCUGCCGGAGACUCCAUGUUCAUUAGGGGAAAAUCUCUAGGGGUUUUUUUCUUAUUUGAACAAUUACCAUGAGCAAAUCAGAGUGUUUAAAGCAGGCUUUUAAGCUUGAAUGUGUUAGCAUGGAAUAAUGAAAUAUGACUUUAGUCCUAUUUUCGUUGGUUUAGGUACUUCAGUAAUGAUGAAUAGAAACGGUUAGGGGCAUUUGUAUUUGGUCGCUAGAGGUGAAAUUCUUGGAUUGACCGAAGACAAACUACUGCGAAAGCAUUUGACCCGGGACGUUUUCAUUGAUCAAGGUCUAAAGUUAAGGGAUCGAAGACGAUUAGAUACCGUCGUAGUCUUAACCACAAACUAUGCCGACUAGAGAUUGGGCGUGUUUAUUAUGACUCGCUCAGCAUCUUAGCGAAAGUAAAGUUUUUGGGUUCUGGGGGGAGUAUGGGACGCAAGGCU
rnacentral:rRNA from 1 species